CCGGAUUUGAACUUUGUGAAUAAAUCCUUAAAAACCUUCUCAAAGACACCUUCAUCAUCUUCGUUGCUCUGCAACUGUAUGAAAAAAAAAAAAAUUAUAGUAUUUCUGAGUCACCUUGUCGCAACCAAGAUACUCUCGAACGUUGGUCUCUUCCUUAUUCAAUUUCCAUGUAGUUUUGUGUCUUCAAAUAUGACCAAAAUGUAUUAUCACUUGUACUGUACCAAUGUAUGGACUAAAAAACAGUAGCAUUAAACUGGGACAAGCUCCAGUAUUUAUAGACAAUACCGUAGCAAUGUAUAAGAACACACAAUUGCUCGGUAAUGCACAUGCAUACCCAGAUGUGGGUCUCUGCUUUUUGCUGAUUUCUUUUGUUACAUUUUCUUCGAAAAUGGUUUUAUAUGCAUUUUACAUCUACGAAUGCUAAUGCUUUACCUUUGUCUCUCUCUCUCUCUCUCUCUGACCACUCACUUCGUUUUGAUUCGAUACUUUUCCGAUCCCAACCACAAUGGUGCACCACGAGGGCGACUCGAAAUCGGGGAAGAAGGACUUCUCGACGGCGAUUCUAGAGAGGAAAAAGUUGUCGAAUCGGCUUGUCGUUGACGAGGCGGUCUACGACGAUAACUCCUUCGUCGCUUUGCACCCUGAUACCAUACAGAAGCUCCAGCUUUUCCGUGGCGACACGAUUCUCAUCAAGGUAAAGAAGCGGAAGGACACAAUCUGCAUUGCUAUUCCCGAUGAAACAUGUGAGGAGCCAAAGAUUAGGAUGAACAAGGUUGUUAGAUCAAAUCUGAGGGUUCGGCUUGGGGAUGUUGUAUCUGUGCACCAGUGCCCUGAUGUUAAGUAUGGGAUGCGUGUCCACAUUCUGCCUGUUGAUGAUACUAUAGAAGGUGUUACAGGCAAUCUGUUCGACACAUACCUGAAACCGUAUUUCUUGGAUGCUUAUCGCCCUGUAAGGAAGGGAGACCUAUUCCUUGUCGAGGGAGGGAUGAAAAGUGUACAGUUCAAGGUUAUGGAAACCGACCCAGGGGAGUAUUGUGUGGUUUCCCCAGACACAGAAAUCUUUUAUGAGGGGGAUCCUGUCAGAAGGGAGGAUGAAGAUAGGUUGGAUGAAGUUGGAUACGAUGAUGUGGGUGGAGUUCGGAAUCAGAUGGCUCAGAUUCGUGAGUUAGUGGAGCUGCCUCUAAGGCACCCUCAGCUUUUUGAAUCAAUUGGUGUGAAACCACCUAAAGGCAUUUUGCUUUAUGGACCCCAAGGUUCUGGAAAGACGUUAAUAGGUAGAGCUGUGGCUAAUGAAACUGGAGCGUUUUUUUGCAGUAUUAAUGGACCAGAGAUUAUGUCCAAAUUGGCUGGAGAGAGUGAAAGCAAUCUCCGGAAGGUGUUUGAAGAAGCUGAAAGGAAUGCUCCAUCCAUCAUUUUCAUUGAUGAGAUUGAUUGCAUUGCUCCUAAGCGGGAGAAGACACAUAGUGAAGUUGAAAGGAGGAUUGUUUCACAACUUUUGACUCUUAUGGAUGGACUGAAAUCUCAGGCCCAAGUUAUCUUUAUUGGGGCUACAAAUCGUCCAAAUAGCAUUGACCCGGCUUUGAGAAGGUUUGGUCGUUUUGAUAGGGAAAUAGAUAUUGGUGUUCCGGAUGAAGUUGGCCGCCUUGAAGUUCUUCGCAUCCAUACCAAGAGCAUGAAACUCUCUGAUGAUGUUGAUUUGGAAAGAAUUGCAAAAGAUACCCAUGGGUAUGUUGGUGCCGAUCUUGCUGCUCUCUGCACUGAGGCUGCACUGCAGUGCAUUAGAGAGAAGAUGGAUAUGAUUGACUUGGACGAUGAAUCUAUUGACGCUGAGAUACUUAAUUCUAUGGCUGUUACUAAUGAGCACUUCCAGACUGCUCUUGGAACAAGCAACCCAUCCGCUUUACGAGAAAUAGUGGUUGAAGUGCCCAAUGUCAGCUGGGAAGACAUUGGAGGCCUUGAGAAUGUUCAGUGGGAACUUCAAGAGACUGUACAGUAUCCUGUGGAGCACCCAGAGAAAUUGGAGAAAUUUGGAAUGUCACUUUCAAAAGGGGUCCUUUUAUAUGGUCCCCCAGGAUGUGGGAAAACUCUAUUGGCCAAGGCAAUUGCAAAUGAAUGUCAAGCAAACUUCAUCAGUAUCAAGGGCCCUGAACUGCUUACAAUAUGGUUUGGUGAGAGUGAAGCCAAUGUUCGAGAAAUUUUUGACAAGGCUCGACAAUCUGCACCAUGUGUCCUUUUCUUUGAUGAGCUUGAUUCAAUUGCUUCCCAGAGAGGAAGCAGUGUUGGGGAUGCAGGUGGUGCUGCUGAUCGGGUUCUGGACCAGCUUCUUACUGAAAUGGAUGGCAUGUCUGCAAAGAAGACUCUGUUCAUAAUUGGGGCUACCAACAGACCUGACAUAAUUGACCCAGCACUUCUGAGGCCUGGUCGUCUUGACCAAUUGAUUUAUAUUCCUCUCCCUGAUGAGAAGUCACGCUAUCAAAUCUUUAAAUCCCGCUUGAGAAAAUCACCUGUCUCUAAAGAUGUUGAUUUGAGAGCAAUGGCCAAACGUACUAAAGGCUUCAGUGGAGCUGACAUCACAGAGAUUUGCCAGCGAGCAUGCAAGUAUGCUAUAAGAGAGAACAUUAAAAAGGACAGAGAGAAGGAGAGGAGGAGAAGCAAGAAUCCUGAGGCUAUGGACGAGGAUGACAACAAUGAAGUGGCAGAGAUUAAAGCUGCUCAUUUUAAGGAGUCCAUGAAGUUUGCCCGUAGGAGUGUUAGUGAUGCUGAUAUACUCGAAUACCAGGCAUUUGCUCAGACCUUGCAGCAGUCUAGGGGUUUUGGAAGUGAAUUUAGGUUCUCUGAGACACAUACUGGGGCCAACAUUAAAUCUGAUCCAUUUUUAACUUCUGCUAGGCUGAUGAAGAUGAUUUCUUUUUGUUUAGUUUUUUAUAUUUUUUUGAAAUGGUUAGGAACUUAGGAAUACAUAUAUUCUAGUAGGCCUGUUUGCACUGAAGAAACUGGCGGGCGCCCCGGAUUGACCGUAACAAGGCUCCACUGUAGGUGUCUAGUAUGGUGGGUGGGUAUUAGAGAAAUAUAGUGAAUAUGAAUGUUUUUUUUUUUUUUUUUUUAAUGAUCUGACGUGGUUUGGGUGUGUUAAUUGCAUUGUGUUUGGUUCUUGAGA